rnacentral:rRNA from 1 species
GAUGAACGCUGGCGGCGUGCCUAAUACAUGCAAGUCGAGCGAACAGAUGAGGAGCUUGCUCCUCUGACGUUAGCGGCGGACGGGUGAGUAACACGUGGAUAACCUACCUAUAAGACUGGGAUAACUUCGGGAAACCGGAGCUAAUACCGGAUAAUAUAUUGAACCGCAUGGUUCAAUAGUGAAAGACGGUUUUGCUGUCACUUAUAGAUGGAUCCGCGCCGCAUUAGCUAGUUGGUAAGGUAACGGCUUACCAAGGCAACGAUGCGUAGCCGACCUGAGAGGGGAGCGGGCCAAACGGAAACUGGACACGGGCCCGGCCCCCAAGGGGAGGCAGAGGGGGGGAUUCUUGCAAAAGGGGGGAAAGGUUACCGAGGCAACGCGGGGGGGUGAAGAAGGGUUUUGGGUUCGGAAACUCUUUUUAUUGGGAAAAAACAAAUGUGUAAAUAACUAUGCAGGGUUGACGGUACCAAAAGCAGAAGCCCCGGCUAACUUCGGG